AAACUGAAGAGUUUGAUCAUGGCUCAGAUUGAACGCUGGCGGCAGGCUUAACACAUGCAAGUCGAGCGGUAACAGGGGUAGCUUGCUACCCGCUGACGAGCGGCGGACGGGUGAGUAAUGCAUAGG
rnacentral:rRNA from 1 species